CCUACGGGUGGCAGCAGUAGGGAAUCUUCCGCAAUGGGCGAAAGCCUGACGGAGCAACGCCGCGUGAGUGAAGAAGGUCUUCGGAUCGUAAAGCUCUGUUGACGGGGACGAACGUGCGAGAGGUGAAUAAUCUCUUGUAAUGACGGUACCUGUCGAGGAAGCCACGGCUAACUACGUGCCAGCAGCCGCGGUAAUACGUAGGUGGCGAGCGUUGUCCGGAAUCAUUGGGCGUAAAGGGAGCGCAGGCGGGCAUGUAAGUCUUUCUUAAAAGUUCGGGGCUCAACCCCGUGAUGGGAAAGAAACUAUCGGUCUUGAGUACAGGAGAGGAAAGCGGAAUUCCCAGUGUAGCGGUGAAAUGCGUAGAUAUUGGGAAGAACACCAGUGGCGAAGGCGGCUUUCUGGACUGCAACUGACGCUGAGGCUCGAAAGCCAGGGGAGCGAACGGGAUUAGAUACCCGAGUAGUC
rnacentral:rRNA from 1 species